CGGAGGAUCCAAGCGUUAUCCGGAUUUAUUGGGUUUAAAGGGUGCGUAGGCGGCCUGUUAAGUCAGGGGUGAAAGACGGUAGCUUAACUAUCGCAGUGCCCUUGAUACUGAUGGGCUUGAAUAUACUUGAGGUAGGCGGAAUGUGACAAGUAGCGGUGAAAUGCAUAGAUAUGUCACAGAGCACCAAUUGCGAAGGCAGCUUACUAAGGUAUGAUUGACGCUGAGGCACGAAAGCGUGGGGAUCAAACAGGAUUAGAUACCCUGGUAGUCCACGCCCUAAACGAUGAACACUCGAUGUUGGCGAUAUACGGUCAGCGUCAAAGCGAAAGCGUUAAGUGUUCCACCUGGGGAGUACGCCCGCAAGGGUG
rnacentral:rRNA from 1 species